CUGUCUGUCAGUGAGUGUGUAUGUAUGUCUGUCACUGAGUGUGUGUCUGUCAGUAAAUGUGUGUGUCUGUUAGCUAGUGUGUAUGCGUCUGUUCGUGAGAGUGUGUGUGUCUUAAGCACUUACCUUUCUCCAGCGCCGGACUCCCUUGGCGCUGGGGAUCUCUCCGCCCUGAUCCGCCUCUCAGCUCCGAAUGCGCAUGCGUGGCAAGAGCCGCGCGCGCAUUCA